GUUCGUGAAAUCUCACGGCUUAACUGUGAGCGUGCGGGCGAUACGGGCAGACUUGAGUACUGCAGGGGAGACUGGAAUUCCUGGUGUAGCGGUGGAAUGCGCAGAUAUCAGGAGGAACACCGGUGGCGAAGGCGGGUCUCUGGGCAGUAACUGACGCUGAGGAGCGAAAGCGUGGGGAGCGAACAGGAUUAGAUACCCUGGUAGUCCACGCCGUAAACGGUGGGUACUAGGUGUGGGUUUCCUUCCUUGGGAUCCGUGCCGUAGCUAACGCAUUAAGUACCCCGCCUGGGGAGUACGGCCGCGAGGCUAAAACUCAAAGAAAUUGACGGGGGCCCGCACAAGGCGGCGGAGCAUGUGGAUUAAUUCGAUGCAACGCGAAGAACCUUACCUGGGUUUGACAUGCACAGGACGCCGGCAGAGAUGUCGGUUCCCUUGUGGCCUGUGUGCAGGUGGUGCAUGGCUGUCGUCAGCUCGUGUCGUGAGAUGUUGGGUUAAGUCCCGCAACGAGCGCAACCCUUGUCUCAUGUUGCCAGCGGGUAAUGCCGGGGACUCGUGAGAGACUGCCGGGGUCAACUCGGAGGAAGGUGGGGAUGACGUCAAGUCAUCAUGCCCCUUAUGUCCAGGGCUUCACACAUGCUACAAUGGCCGGUACAAAGGGCUGCAUGCCGCGAGGUUAAGCGAAUCCUUUUAAGCCGGUCUCAGUUCGGAUCGGGGUCUGCAACUCGAC
rnacentral:rRNA from 1 species